AAAAUGUGUUGAUAUUUUAGCUCUUUUAUAAUUAAGUCUGGUUGUACCUCAAAAGAAUCUUAAGACUGUGGUGAUAAGAUGUUUUCCUU
rfam:Tupaia chinensis contig200281, whole genome shotgun sequence.